GGAGGGGUGCGAGCGUUAAUCGGAAUUACUGGGUGUAAAGGGCGCGUAGGUGGUUAAUUAAGUCAGAUGUGAAAUCCCUGGGGCUCAACCUAGGAAUUGCAUAUGAAACUGGUUAUCUAGAGUUUGGUAGAGGGAAGUGGAAUUUCCGGUGUAGCGGUGAAAUGCGUAGAUAUCGGAAGGAACAUCAGUGGCGAAGGCGACUUCCUGGCCCAAUACUGACACUGAGGCGCGAAAGCGUGGGUAGCGAACAGGAUUAGAUACCCUGGUAGUCCACGCUGUAAACGAUGAGAACUAGAUGUUAGGGUGCUAGUCACUUUAGUAUCGCAGCUAACGCGUUAAGUCCUCCGCCUGGGGAGUACGGCCGCAAGGUUA
rnacentral:rRNA from 1 species